GGCCUUGCGCUCUUUGAGCGGCCGAUGUCAGAUUAGCUAGUUGGUGAGGUAAAGGCUUACCAAGGCGACGAUCUGUAGCGGGUCUGAGAGGAUGAUCCGCCACACUGGAACUGAGACACGGUCCAGACUCCUACGGGAGGCAGCAGUGGGGAAUUUUGGACAAUGGGGGCAACCCUGAUCCAGCCAUGCCGCGUGAGUGAAGAAGGCCUUCGGGUUGUAAAGCUCUUUCGGCCGGGAAGAAAUCGCAUGGGCCAAUACCCUGUGUGGAUGACGGUACCGGAAUAAGAAGCACCGGCUAACUACGUGCCAGCAGCCGCGGUAAUACGUAGGGUGCGAGCGUUAAUCGGAAUUACUGGGCGUAAAGCGUGCGCAGGCGGUUUUGUAAGACAGGCGUGAAAUCCCCGGGCUUAACCUGGGAACUGCGUUUGUGACUGCAAGGCUAGAGUACGGCAGAGGGGGGUGGAAUUCCACGUGUAGCAGUGAAAUGCGUAGAGAUGUGGAGGAACACCAAUGGCGAAGGCAGCCCCCUGGGUCGAUACUGACGCUCAUGCACGAAAGCGUGGGUAGCAAACAGGAUUAGAUACCCUGGUAGUCCACGCCCUAAACUAUGUCAACUAGGUGUUGGGUGGGUAAAACCAUUUAGUACCGUAGCUAACGCGUGAAGUUGACCGCCUGGGGAGUACGGCCGCAAGGUUAAAACUCAAAGGAAUUGACGGGGACCCGCACAAGCGGUGGAUGAUGUGGAUUAAUUCGAUGCAACGCGAAAAACCUUACCUACCCUUGACAUGCCAGGAACUUGCCAGAGAUGGCUUGGUGCCCGAAAGGGAGCCUGGACACAGGUGCUGCAUGGCUGUCGUCAGCUCGUGUCGUGAGAUGUUGGGUUAAGUCCCGCAACGAGCGCAACCCUUGUCGUUAAUUGCCAUCAUUUAGUUGGGCACUUUAACGAGACUGCCGGUGACAAACCGGAGGAAGGUGGGGAUGACGUCAAGUCCUCAUGGCCCUUAUGGGUAGGGCUUCACACGUCAUACAAUGGUCGGUACAAAGGGUUGCCAAGCCGCGAGGCGGAGCCAAUCCCAGAAAGCCGAUCGUAGUCCGGAUUGCAGGCUGCAACUCGCCUGCAUGAAGUCGGAAUCGCUAGUAAUCGUGGAUCAGCAUGUCACGGUGAAUACGUUCCCGGGUCUUGUACACACCGCCCGUCACACCAUGGGAGCGGGUUCCGCCAGAAGUAGGUAGCCUAACCGCAAGGGGGGCGCUUACCACGGCGGGGUUCGUGACUGGGGUGAAGUCGUAACAAGGUA
rnacentral:rRNA from 1 species